CUCUCCUCUCCUCCUAGCCCACAGCCACCCAAACCACCACCCAAGCUUACUCAGGCCAUCCAUCCCAACCUUAACACCUCCCUCAUGCCACAGAUCUGAUCAUUUUCCCCAAACCACAAACCCCAAAACGAUGUCGUGUUGCAGUUGCAGAUCAAAAUUAUCAAAUCCUAAACUGAAACGAAGAUAGUUAGAACAAGAAACGGGCCGCGAUCGAACGGAAUGGUGCCGCUGUUAGCAAUUCACUCGGCGAGCUAGUAUUACAGGCUCGACUGGAAGCCUCCGGUUACCGCUGGACUCAUUGCCGCCAAUUCUCUCAUCUACUUACGCCCUGUUUUUCUCGACCCAUUCUCCCUUCCCUCCAAGAAGUCUAGUUCAACCCCCACCUCAUCCUCAAGGUACCCACACUUCAAGUACUCCAAAGGAAAAGCCCUCUCAGGAUUAAGCAGCGUUGGACUUGUUAUAUCCGAGGUCAAGACCACCAUGUCGAGGCAUCGCGGCUGUCCGCUCUAUAAAAACUUCUUCUUUAUCUUUUUCUACUUUUAUUUUUCCCUGGGUUGUAAACGUAAAUCCUAAGAUUGCUCUGUUAAUUCCCAC